GCCAGUGAAGCCACCCUCCGGCUUCCUCACCACCCUCUGCUUGGCCUUUUUGCAAUUCCAACAACCUCUGACUGGCCUCCUCUGUUGCCUUGCUUCUCAAACUUUUUGGAUUUAGGAUUCCUUUACAUUCUUACAUAUCUUUUGUGAUCUUGUCGUUUAUCAUAAGAAUAUAGUCGUUUUUUUUUAUUCCCGUGAAAAACAAGGAGCACAGAGCUUGGAAUUUCCUAACAGAGAGCUAAAGGUGUCCUUUGGAAUGGUAAUUUCAGAGGCAAAGUGAUCUUGAACAAAUGAUUUCACCUGUCUAGGACUCAGCCUGCCCUGCCAUAAAUAAGAGCAUGAGAACAGGACCAGCCUGGUCAUUCCCAGGGCCAGCCGCUGUGUCAGCAGAGGAACCCUGGCCACCAAAAAGUGGUGCUAGGGGACAGAAGAAGUGAACUCAGUGCUCCGGACCAAAGGAAUGUGGGCUAUGGUGGAGCGGGACUCUAUGCCAAGGGUGCAGCAAGGUCUCUGCCUGAGAAGGACCUCCCUAAAAUGAAGUCUUCAUGAAGGGACAGCCGGCCCCAAAGGAGAAGAGAUUCCACAGAUAAAAUGAAGCAGAAACUUUUUUGACAGUUCCCCGGCACUUUCUCAACCAACCUCUCUCAGAGACCCUGGGGCCUGUUGUCAGGUUUUGCCUGCCUCCCCGCCCCAGCCUUCCCAUAGAAUUGAUCUAAAAGGUAAAAGAAAGAAACUGACCUAAGAGAGGUAAAAAGAAAACAGACCUAAGUUACCAGCCGCCAUCGGUAAAUAAGUUUGUCAGAUCACCACUAAAGCAUUGCGUGGCCUCAGGCAAAUCACUUAACUUCUGAGUGGCAGUUUUCUCCUCUGAAGAAUGAAAGGAGCAGACAAGAAGAACUGAAGGGACCUCAUGUCCGAGGUCCCUUCCAGACAUGACGGCCUAAGUGAGAGCGCCACAUCUUAGCCCGGAGACAAUUCACCCCUUCCCCUUUCAGCGGUUCAGGUGCUGGCCCUCCCUCCAGGACUGACUGUGUAUCCAGAUCCGGAUCCUUCGUGGUCUCAAUCCAGUAUCCAGUUCCUUCGUGGUCUCAACUCCCUUAUAGGUGGCUGUGCAGGGAGACCCACAGGCAGAGAACGGCCACCCAUCCGAAACCAAGCAGGACCCUUGGGGCCCUCUUGGGUACUGUGUCGUUCCCCCCCCCCCCCGCCCUGUUUCUUGUUUAUAGGAAAUAAGUUUCCUCAGCUUCCUAGACCUUCCCUGAGUUCCAGAGGGCAGAUUCCAACAGUUGCUAAGGAGGAAAGUAAGAGAAUGAAGAAACAAAAGAUGAGCAGUCAGGAAAUAAGAGUGCAGCAGUGGGGUGAGGUCUGGGUUCUGCUCAAGGAAUAUACAUGACAACAUAUCUAGGAAUUCUUCUGCAGGAACUAAGGUCCCCACCCAGGUGGAAGAUGGGAAAUUCCGGCUGAGCACCAGAGUCCUGGAACUCUCCCUGUUACCUCACCACCAACCAAUCCAAAGAGUCAUACACCCUGCAGCCCUCACCUCAAAUUUUGGUUAUAAAAACUUCUUCCCUGGAAACCACUGGAGAGUUUGGUUUUGGGGGGGUCACAAGCUACCUGUUCUCCUUGCUUAGUCCUGCAAUAGAACUUUCUGUGCUCCAAACUCCAACAUUUUGGUUUGUUGGGUCUCACUGUGCGUUGGGCACAUGACCAAGCAUUCAGUAACACUUUUGUGCAAUAGCUCCCCAACCAGACUGGUCAUUUCUCCAGACACUGAAAGGUAUCACGGUGUUUGAUGAAGCAGGUGGGGGUCCCUCCAGAGUGCUGGGGCCACAGACUGAAACAGACACUUAGAACUCAUCUGGAAUCUGGCAGCUGCUUCAAAAG